UUUAGCUCUGUUGGCAUAAAGUCAAAAAUUGGCAAGUAUUAAUUAUUAUGAUAGAAUUAAGUUUAAUAAGUAAACAUAAGAAAUAACAAUGAAAUACUUUGUGUGUAAUGUGUGUAUCAGUGAGAUGAAUGAAUUGAAAAGGAAAGAGCACAAACUCUGAUGUGGCAGUAGGAGAGGUGGUUUCGGAACUGCCUUGGACUGUUUUCUUCUUCAAACUGAUAAUUGAGGUGAGAAGAGCUCUUUUCACUGCAAGUUUACGUUUCUUUUUCGAAUUUGAAAUGGGCUCCACUGAAGAAGGAUUGGAUGAGACAGCGAGAGAUACAUGCGGUGUUUGCUUUGAAAGAAGUGGGGGAGUAGGCGGAAGCAUUUGGGCAGCAAUAUUUUUUUUCUGAUGCUCAACAAAGUUGGCUUAUGAUCCUGAUUCAAGAAGUUGUACCUUCUCAUCAAACACAGCUUGAAUAAGCAAAUCAUUUCUGUUUGAAUCAGUUUUUAUGCUCCCAAACCGAAGUUGAAAUUUUUUAAA